GGCUGCUUAGCUAUAUUUUAAAGCUUUUACUUUGAAAGUAAAAAAAAGACUUACUGUCUAGCAGCCC
rnacentral:tRNA from 1 species